UUUUUUUUUUUUUUUUUUUUUUUCCUUCAGACUAUACGAGAUAAUCAGGCAGGAGACUGCUAGGAGGAUUUCUCAGGUAUCUCAGUUUUUUCUUGGGGUUAGAUCUGACUGCAUAGCAAAUUACUAUAGAAGUUGUAAGCCAAGGCUUCUUGUUUUCAUCAUAUUUGCUUGCUGUACUUUUCCUGGCUCUUCAUUCACCAUUUGGAAAUUGUACAAGAUAGUGAUCCUGCCCAGACUUCAAAACUUUUGAAGUGCUGCUGUCUAACACUAUUUCAUCUGUGUUCAGCAUUUACAGAAGCACUGUUCAUUGCCAGACAUGUCCUGGUUAGGUGCUGUGUAGUGCAGACAUAAGUUAGAAUAGGAUGGAGGAGAUAAUUUAGGUGAAGUUCUCCCACACUUGAAAUAGGCUGGAUUCAUCACUACUGCAUGUACUUUUUGUCAAGUCUUACUCCUGCCAAACAAGCCUGAUUCAUCUCCUCCUGCACUGGCUGUUUAUAGAACUCUUGUUUCAAGUAAACUGGGCCAUGGCCCUAUAACUGAUGCUUGCAUUGACAUAGGAGCAUGUCUGUGGUGUCAGUAGCAAUUUCACACUGUGGUGACAUUGCUUGUAGUAAAGAAAAGAUUUAGUAGUAGAUUAAAACCUCAUUACUGCAAGCAAAGUGGAACACUGUUCAUUAAUUCCUACACUUAGGAGAAUGAGGAUGUAACUGCUGUAAUUAAGCUGUUGAUUAAGAAACUGUUUGCACGGUUUGUUGUGGAUGUCUAUUCCAACUACAGAUGUGUAGCUGACCACUGUAAACACUAAUUUCACUGCUGAUUGAAAUGGCUGUUAGGGAGGUUUCUCUGUUUUCUCCCAGUUGGUGUCCACUGCAAGUAGCUGAACAGUGAGCACUGCCAGAAUUAAUCUGGUUGUGUGUGUCAGGCAGGCAGCAGGUAAGAAUGUGUUCUCUUUGCCCAUCAUCUUUUCAAAUUUCUGAAGUUAAUUACAAGUUAGGACAGAACUUGACCUACAACAUCUUGUACUGGACAAAUUAAUAAAGAAGGGUACAUCCUGGCCUAGCCCAAAUCUUUUGUGCUUUUGCAAGGUUUUAGUCUUUGGAAUUGUUCUGCUGUCUGCAACGUCACAGGACCUUCCAAAGCUUUCAAAGUGCCCAGAGAAGCUGUGGAUGCCCCAUCCCUGGAAGUCUGAUUGGACAGGGCUUUGAGCAGCCUUGUCUCAUGAAAGGUGUCCUUGCCCACUGCAGGGGGGUUGGAACAAGAUGAUCUUUAAGGUCCCUUCCAACCAAAGCUGUUACAUGAUUCUAUGAAAAAUCAAAAUUCAUGGCUUUCUCAGGGUUGGGAAAUGAUACCAUCGUCACAUCGCUUUUAUGUCCCAAAUACAGCUUUGCUGUCUCAGGUGUCAAUCUUAAGCACGUGGUUUCCUUGAAGAUAGAACAAUUAAAAAGAAUCCUUUGUAUGCCCUGGAGUAUUUUCCUGGAAUUACUAUUUGCCUCAUAACCCCAGGGAUUUUAUUUUUGGAAGGCCAUGGGAUAAAAAAUAAUUAGCUAGAUCUAGUUCCCCCCCGCUUUUUAUCCUCUGUGAUGCAUCACAAACCAAAUCUUAUGUGCAUUGAACCAUACCAGCUUAAUAGGCUUUCAAACAGCUCCAAAAUGUCCCAAACCUAAGGUGUUUGAGACCAAUUUUUCUCUUAAAACUCAUAGUAGGAUCCUUUUAAUGCUGUUCUUCUUGGAACUUAAAUGUUCACC
ensembl:lncRNA